AGAAUACUUCUUAUAAAUCUUA
rnacentral:snRNA from 1 species